rnacentral:rRNA from 1 species
UUUCAGCAAGAUUACGGGAGGCGACAGUGGGGAGUUUUGGGCAAUGGGCGAAAGCCUGACCCAGCAACGCCGCGUGAAGGAUGAGGUCCUUCGGGAUGUAAACUUCGUAAGAAUGGGAAGAAUAAAUGACGGUACCAUUUGUAAGGUCCGGCUAACUACGUGCCAGCAGCCGCGGUA